GCGGGUAUCGUAUAGUGGUUAUUACGUUGGCUUCCCAAGCCUGAGAGGCGAGUUCGAUCCUCGCUACCCGCUCCA
rnacentral:tRNA from 1 species